UAAAGCCAAAAUGAAAAUGGAAUUCCUUUUCAUGAUAAAAUGGGUUGUCCCUGUAACAAGUCCAAUUUCCAAAAGUUACUUGAAUUAAACACUGGCACAGAAACGAUGAAGUUGACCCCACAUGAUGGUGCAUGUUUUAACCAUUAUUGCUGAAUGUGAUGGCUUACUAGAAAAAGUGGUGAGAGCAACAAUUAUCCAACUAUCUAAAGUUGUGAGAGGAUGGGUUACUACUGCUAUAAACGCAGGAGUUGUAGCACUCAUACAUCAGAUGUUAUUGUGAUGUUGGCCGUGGCCUUGAUGCUCCUCUGCAUACCGUGGCUCUUCACGCGUGAACAAGUGGUGGUGGUUGAAGAAAAGAAGACGAAUUGGUCAGCUUUGAUCACGCCAAUACUGGUACUGUUCAUCCUGCUUUUGCUGUCACUGAUUGGAUCUCCAAGGAGGGUUUAUGCAAAGCCAACGUGCUAUAGGUGUAAGCAUGUCUGCUACUGUUACUGCUAGUGUCAUUCCAACACCUGCUCCAUCCAUCAUUGCUAUUGUCUUCUCUGUUCUAUGAUUAUUCCAUAUAUCAUUCCCAUUGUGUUGGAAUACUAUCAUACCAUCAUAAAUUAUAUAUAGUUUCUUACGAGAACUAAAAGGGAGAAUCCCAGUUGUGCUAAUAAUUUAAAUGUAAUUAUAAUUCAGUUGAAAAUUAUAUUUUUUUUCUUUUUA